AUACGUAGGGGGCAAGCGUUGUCCGGAAUUAUUGGGCGUAAAGCGCGCGCAGGCGGUCUUUUAAGUCUGGUGUUUAAGCCCGGGGCUCAACCCCGGUUCGCAUCGGAAACUGGAAGACUUGAGUGCAGGAGAGGAAAGCGGAAUUCCACGUGUAGCGGUGAAAUGCGUAGAGAUGUGGAGGAACACCAGUGGCGAAGGCGGCUUUCUGGACUGUAACUGACGCUGAGGCGCGAAAGCGUGGGGAGCAAACAGGAUUAGAUACCCUGGUAGUCCACGCCGUAAACGAUGAGUGCUAGGUGUUAGGGGUUUCGAUACCCUUGGUGCCGAAGUCAACACAAUAAGCACUCCGCCUGGGGAGUACGCUCGCAAGAGUGAA
rnacentral:rRNA from 1 species